CAACCAGUUGAAUCCGGCCGUGAAAGCCUUCGACAAUAAAAUGAGAGAAUAGUUUGGGAGAGCAUCACCUGAAAACUGAAAUCCUUACAAGUAUGAAUGAUGAAAGUUCAAAUAGCUUAUAUAAGUUUCUUCUGAAGAUUAAGGAGGCUGUGGUAAACUUUCUUAGCGAUUUCUAGUUAAGCUUGUGUUCAAUGUGAUAAUGUUGUGGUCACUGUUUCUAGGCUGCUGGAUACAUAGGGGCUGUUCUGCAUUAAAUGAAGGGUUGUCUUGAUUUUCUGUCUGAUGCUACAAAUGUUUUCAUGUCUGGAAAACUACAUCGUAACUUGCGCUACUUGGCAAGAAAAUAACCGAAGUAACCCAUCAUUACAUGUUUUCUUUUGGUUGACUUAUUAACUUUUUUCCCAUCUCAAGAUCACUGUUGGUUUUGGCCAGGGAAAAUAUACGCGACACCACCAUCACUUUACUUUCUGUAACUUUUUAUACAGGGAUAAAUAAUUGCUCCCCAUUGAUUAUUAUUAUUCCUUUAUGAUUCUGAUUUCAUUGUAUCUCUAUACAUAACUGAUGAAGAAAGCAGCAAAAUCAGGCUCCACAGGCAAAGUAAGAGUCUCUACAUACUUAAAGGACUACCCAGGUAAGUAGAAAAGUAUAACUUUGUAAAUCAAAUAAAAAGGGGGAAAAUUCAAUAAGCAGCCCAGUGAGGAUUGAAAAUGUACCAAAAGGGAUGGAAUGUAGAGAACAGCAGAGAAGUCAGGGGCAGCCUACUCAAGCGCCAUGGAAGGGGGAGAUUGGGAAUUUUCAGACGAUUUAUUCUCCUUCCCUUGUGAUUCCUUGUGGGUUCUAAAUUUGUUUUCUCUUAAAAUCAUAGAUUGCCUCUCAUGGUCUUGAGGUUUGUAGCAUUAGCCGAACACAAAGCUAGAUAUUUGCUCCUAGAGUCUAUACAUCGUUUUUCAUGUAAUUUUUGCAAUGAUACUUCUCCAUUAUCUUUGCAUUACCAACUUCUUAUUACCAACUUCUAUCUUUAUUUCUGUUUGAGAUAAUGGAUUGUUCCUUGCUAUGGAUGAAGAAGAAGAGUUUGGAUUUAUACUCCACCUUUCUUUCCUGUAAGGAUACUCAAAGGGGCUUACAAACUCCUUUCCCUUCCUUUCCGCACAACAGACACCUUGUGAGUAUAAUCUUUGUCAACGUUUUUCGUUGGAUGCAGCUUGCUUGACAAUCAGAAGAAUAUAUCUGCCAUAGAACAGAAGUAAGGAAAAAGAACAUGCAGCAGGGCUGAAAGUUUUCUUAUCAGGGCUAAAAUAUCCUUUUUGUGCUGAUUGUUCCUUUUUAAAUGACUGAAAGCCCAUAAAUCUAUCAGAUCACAGCUCCUUGCAUUUAAAAACAAAUAAAGUACAAAGUGAGAUGCCUUCCAUUUUGCUCAGUUUGUUUUUGGCAGGGUGACAUUAAGGGAAUCAAGUUUUUUGUUUUAUUUUUGUGCUUCUGAUACCUGCAAUGGGAGGACCAGCGAUGACCCCAAAACCAGCAAUGAAUGAAGAGAGUCCCAAAGCACUAUGGAAGCUUGGGGCACCUACAAGAUCCACCUGUUGAAGAAACAAAUAUUUAUUACCUCCUGCUUUUUUUGUGUGGUAUAGCUAAAGCAUGGCAUGCUGACAAAUUGCCGCCCAUUUGGAAUAUGUUGUGUCCCUACAAUUUUGCAACAUUCAUCAGAAAAUUGUGUGUAUUGUACAGAUUAUCUUUUGGAUGUGUAAAGUGCGGACUCAGUGUUUGCCUAAUGAUUUUUUUCUACUUACCAAUA